AGCAGCCGCGGUAAUUCCAGCUCCAAUAGCGUAUAUUAAAGUUGUUGCAGUUAAAAAGCUCGUAGUUGAAUUUCGGGAUCGACGGGUCGGUCGCGCCUCUGGUGUGUACUGGCCCUGUCGGUUUCUCCCUUCUGACGAACCACGAUGUCAUUAAUUUGGUGUCGUGGGAAAUCAGGACUGUUACUUUGAAAAAAUUAGAGUGUUUAAAGCAGGCAUUCGCUUGAAUACAUUAGCAUGGAAUAAUGAAAUAGGACGUUUGAUCUUAUUUUGUUGGUUUCUAAGAUCGACGUAAUGAUUAAUAGGGAUAGUUGGGGGCAUUAGUAUUCAAUUGUCAGAGGUGAAAUUCUUGGAUUUAUUGAAGACUAACUACUGCGAAAGCAUUUGCCAAGGAUGUUUUCAUUAAUCAAGUAACGAAAGUUAGGGGAUCGAAGACGAUCAGAUACCGUCGUA
rnacentral:rRNA from 1 species